rnacentral:rRNA from 1 species
CGUAUCCAACCUGCCGAUGACUCGGGGAUAGCCUUUCGAAAGAAAGAUUAAUACCCGAUGGCAUAGUUCUUCCGCAUGGUGGAACUAUUAAAGAAUUUCGGUCAUCGAUGGGGAUGCGUUCCAUUAGGUUGUUGGCGGGGUAACGGCCCACCAAGCCUUCGAUGGAUAGGGGUUCUGGGAGGAAGGUCCCCCACAUUGGAACUGAGACACGGUCCAAACUCCUACGGGAGGCAGCAUG